GGUUGGGACCAUAUUUUCCUUAGUAUGUAAAUGGGUGUGGCCAAGGAUUAGCUGCACUUCUGACCCCUCCCAUAAUAUAUGUCUUUAGUUAGAUGAUGGCCCCCUGGUGGAUAUCUUUGUGAAAUAAUUAUUCUUUGUUUUUCAGGGGACGUUCCAGCAGAUGUGGAUCUCUAAACAGGAAUAUGAGGAGGGUGGGAGGCAGUGUGUGGAACGGAAGUGCCCCUAGUACCCCAACAAUACAUCAAUACCCUCAACAUCCAAAGCCGGUCCACUGUAAUAACAGGCGUUUCAAUCAAAUUCAUACGAGCCAAUACUUUCUCUAUGCACAUACAGUAACAUGGCUCCCGGGACCUUUACUAACAUCAAGAUCUUUUUAAUUAUAAUAUUCAUCAAUAUGAAUGGAAGCCAUUAGGGUUUUUAAUAUAAUUUAACCAGUGUUCAACAUCACAUUGUGAGCCCCUUCACCCUGAUACAUAAGGAAUCUGCCUCUUCAUCCAGUUAUAUAGGGAAUCUGCCCUUUUAUCCUGAUACAUUGGGAAACUGCCACAUUCACCCUGAUAUAUAGGGAAUCUGCCCCUUCACCCUGAUAUAUUGGGAAUCUGCCCCUUCACCCUUAUAUAUAGGGAAUCUGCCCCUUCACCCUAAUAUCUUGGAAUCUGCCCUUCAUCCUUAUAUAUAGGGAACCUGCACCUUUAUCCUGAUUUAUUGUAAAUCUGCCUCUUCACCCUGAUAUAUAGGGAAUCUUCCCAUUCACCCUGGUAUUCUAGGAAUCUGCCUCUUCAUCCUAAUAUCCUGGGAAUCUGCAUCGUCAUCCUGAUGUGCCAUCUCACAGUGCAUAAAGACAUCGUGCAGUAGUUUUAAACUAUAGAACAGGGGACACAUUUAACAGUAAUUAUUUUUCAUAUAGCCUGUAUAUGUUCUGCGGAUCCUGCAUUAAACCGUAUCUUCCAAACUGCUGAACGGAUCUGGGUGAAUUUUGGAUAUGUGGUUCACCCAGAUCCUCCGGUUCCGAGGAUAUAUUUAUGGGGUUAUUGCAUGUUUUGGGGUCCCUGUGAUAUGUUUUAUAAUACUGUAUUUUCCUGCCUGUGAUAAUUAAGUUAGUCUAUUGUGUUGAGAUAAUUGUAUCACAGGCAGAGGGGAGGAUUUCUGAUGUAAUGAAUGGGAGUGUUAGCUGUGUUAUAAUGUGUUGAUUGGUUGUGCUUCAAAACCCUGUGGGCAGCACUAUGUUUGUAGAAUGUGAAUAAAAGAGGCUGUAUGUGCCAGUACAGAGAGUUCUUCUUCACCCUCAAUCUAGAGUCCUGUCUCUUAUUGGGGGAAUUGCUAUAUCACUACAAGGGAUUACUAUGCUCUGCAUUUUUUAAAACUACUGCACGAUGUCUUUGUGCACCAAAUGCCGGUGAGAUGGCACCGUGUAGAAAAGUCCAAACAGUGUCUGAGUUAAAAUGGCCGCCAUCCAUUGUUCUCACCAUAUGCUUCAUCCAUUGUUCUCACCAUGUGCCUCUGAUACAUGAAAUGGUGGCCACCCAGUAACUCCACAGUAUGUCCCCAGAUGGUUCUUAAAGGGCCAGCAGCAGCAUAAUAAAAUACAAUAUGCCCAGAUCAGUUCCUUAAAGGGCAAUACAUCCCAGGGCCAUAGUCGCAGGGCAGGAGGCUGGCAAAUAGGUCCCUCCAAAAACCAGUGGCGAGGUCACUUUCGCCACACCUAAUGGGAAAUUGCCCCAUUCAUCCUGGGAUUCUGCCCUGUUCACCUUGAUAUAUAGGGAAACUGCCCCUUAAUCCUUAUAUAUUGGGAAUCUGGUAUUAUAAGUAAAUACUCAGAUUCCCCCAAUACAGAUUCUAAGGCAAAGUCUCUGCUUAUUGGGGUAUUUCUGUUUCCCCGUAAAUGAAUGUGAAGGAUGCUGUCUCUUCAGUCUAUUUUCUUCUCCGGUGUAGACAUAUUAAGGUAUUUUGGGUGUACACCUACUUGUUUAGACCUGCCAUUCCUUCAAAUCCCUAUAAAUUAACGCCUUUUGAAUCCACAAUGUUCAUUAUACAGCACCAUACCUAUAUGACGUCCUCAAAGUGUUUGAUUCACUUGUAUAAUUGUUAAUGUAUCGUAUUCAUUUUAAUUUGAGAUAGGUUAGUAAUAGUUAAUCGUUGGUGAGAAAAUAAAUUCAUCAAAAGCUCAUUAAUCCUUAGAAUGAGAUGGAAUUAGCAUGAGUGGUACUACAGUUUGUGGAAGAACUGGUAAAUGUAAGGAUAAUGGGUACACUGGUCAGGGGCUGAGGGUGAUGGGUACACUAGCUGGAGCAGUAAACGGGAGGUGAGAGUGAUGGGUACACUGGCUGGAGCAGUAAACAUGAGCUGAUGGUGAUGGGUACACUGGACAGGAGCGGAGGGUGAUGCCUACACUGGACGAGAGCUGAGAGUGGUGGGUACACUGGUUGGGAGUGGAGGGUGAUGGGUACACUGGUUGGAGCAGUGAACAGGAGCUGAGUGUGAUGGGUACACUGGUUGGGUGCUGAGCGUGAUAGGAGCAGUGAACAGAAGCUGAGUGUGAUGGGUACACUGGUUGGGAGCCUAGAGUGAUGGGUACACUGGUUGGGAGCAAUGAUCAGGAGCCCAGUGUGAUGGCUACUGUGGCGGGACCGCUGCCUAUUCGUGAAUUGCUAGUAAAUGUUCCUGUAUUUUCCCCUGUAUUAUAUUGUAUUUGUGUGUUUUAACUGCUCCUAGUUUGGGAGAGCUCAAUUCGAAUGGGUUCCAUUCACCUCCCAAAACGGGGACCACCAUGAAACCUGAUUUAGAAUGUUGCCUUAGAACGUUCACACCUCAUAAUGAGGUGUGAAAACCAGAAACCGCAAGGGAAACCUCGGUGCGUGCCGACAUCAAGGGGGAGCAUUCAUGGAUUGCUUCCCACCCUGUUCGAUUCAAUCAAUUAGAGCGUUGGCAACUUGCAACAUAAGUAAUAAGGAAAGUAAUUAAUGAGUGCUUCCCUGGGUGGCCGCCAUUCGUAUAGGCGGACGGCGGCCAGGGGGAGCAUUCAUAUUCCGAACGGAGACGCUUCCCUUACCUGGUUUAACCCAGGGAUCCCACGAACGGAUGCGGUAACCGUUCUGGUGCCCCCCUGAGAUUGGGGACAAUGGUGGUUUGGCGGGCUUUCUGUGGAUGGGAGUCACAGAGGCGGGAAGCUUUCCCAUGCUUGGACUCCCAGGGACAGAGGCUCAUGGGAUGAAGACCCCCUGGCCACCGGAGGUGGGAAACCCUGAGGAUAAGUUUUGGGACAAAUGGAUUGGAGUUCAGUUUCCAGCAGGGGACCCGUGGGAGUGGGAGGGGACACUGAGUGGCGGGAACAGGGGACAAAGGGACCGGGCUUCCGGUUCCGUUAUACGACCCCCGGGCGGGGGAGGACCCUGGGAGAGGACAUUGUCUUCAUGUGUGUUCAACCCCUUGCAUGGGGAAAAAAAUAUAAAAGCUGCAUGUGGCCAAUAAAGUUGUUGUUGUACCCCUGGAACUGUGUGUCGUCCAGUUACUGGGGAAGAUGGGUCUCUUAAUGUAUUUAUAGCUGGGGUAACCAGCCACUACAACUGGUGGCAAGCGGCGGGAUCCUACGACCCAGCCAAACAGACCCAUGGACUAUACGUCUCUAAAAAGACCAAAGUUACAAGAUUCAUGCAAAGCAAGAGGGAUAACCUCUGGCCAUCGUAACAAGGCAGAAUUGAUCGCUGCACUCAUGGAAGAUGACCACACGCGUACUGAGGCAGCUACCCUCCAGUCAGAGGCUGGAGAAGAGGAUGAAGUGCACAAGGAAGUAGCCCGGCUCCUGACAUAUUACAAAGAGCCACCCUCAGAGGAAUCCAUGAAUAGGAUUUUUUCUGAGGUGAAAACCUAUGUCCUUGCCAAAAAGGAAUGGAGAGACCCCCACAAACCCAGAUGGAAGAAGGACAGAGGAGAGGUCGCCGGGAAGCACAGCAGUUCCGGCCUGCAAACUACCGUACAAUGCUUUCAAGGAAGCAGAGGAAGGCAUUGAUGACUUCCUACAAGCUUUGAGCACGACUGCCUGCUACAAGCAAGUUAGUGGGCAAAGCGGCGGAAGCCUACCGGGCUGUACUGGAGGACCAGAUCUGGGACUAUUCCUUCAUCAAAAGGAUCCUACUGGCUAGCUAUGCUGUCACCCCCGAGCAGUACCGGAGACAGUUCAGUGAGACCAGGAAAGGGAGGUAGAAGUGGGACUCAUGGAUCAGCUACCCGCCGAGGUGCUACUUGGCAGUGACCUGGGACUCUUCAUCUCCACCUUUGUGCUUACUCCACACCCCGCAGAGAGCUACCCCGUGAUGACCCGGCAGCAGGCACGCACCACCCAGGGCAGCUCACACUCUGAGGCUCAUGUAGGCACCCUUCCCACACCCAAGGUCCCAUAAAUGAUCCCACAGGCAAGCCCCCAGUGUCUGUCCCCCUCCCCCUGGGCGCUACUCCCAUACCUACACUUGGGCAACACGUACUAGUUACCUGGCCCCAGAGCCUGGGAUCCUACCCCUGCCCCAGUUCCCAUACCCUGGGAUACCCCAGCAGAGUUCGAGAUGGAGGUAGCCUCCGACCUUACAGGGUUAUAAAGACAAGGCAGCCGCGGGGGAGAUAGGGAAGGAGGGAGAGAGGUACCUCUGGUAGGGGGGUGGUUAUACCGCAUAGCAGAGAAAAGGGAACCAGCUUGGUUGCGCCCAAGAAAUAUCGGUAUAAGUUGCUGAAGCUGAGUUGCUUGGCAAGGCAUUUGGGAAGGAGUCGUACAGAGUUUCGGCUUACCCACAGCUUCUUCUGGCCAGGCAUCUCCAAGGAUCUGAGGCAGUAUUGUCAGACCUGUGAUGUCUGCCAGAGAGCAGGGCGACAGAUACAAGGCCCCGCUCGAUCCCCUGACCGUUAUUGACGGCAGAGUAGCUGUCAAUACCAUAGGUCCCCUAGCUAAGCCUAGUACCUCUGGGAAGAAGUAGAUUCUGACCAUCGUGUACUACACGACUCGGUAUCCUAAGGCAGUAGCACUGAGAGACUGUGGCUAAAGCCCUGAUGCAAAUGUUCUUCCGGAUGGGUUUUCCCCAGGAGAUCCUCUCGGACUAGGGCACCCAAUUUAUCUUCAGGCGGAGAGUGAGGGGGCCCCUAGACCUAGUCCGGGAAAACUGGGAGGGAGCUCGGGAUCGGGAACCCCCAUUGUCCCCUAUGUGCUGGAGUUUAGUGACCGACUGGAGGAACUCACCCAUCUGGUGCGGGAGAAACUUUCAAUUCAGGCAAAAGGUUUUGGUGCUGAAACCUGUCCAACAUGAUAGGCUGCAUGCUGCCUGGCAGGGCCCAUACUGGGUAGUAGAACAGAAAGACGACACUACCUGUGUGAUUGGCCCGGGCUCUGGCACCGGAGUCCGACGCCUGUUACAUGUAAACAUGCUUAAGCCCUACCACGAACGGACAGAGGAUAUCGCCACCAUCUGUGUGCCAGAAUUACCGAUAAUCUUCCCCUGCCUGACCUCCUGGAUAAUGGAGCCCAGGUUGGGUCCAUAGAGGAGGUCCAUUUAGGGGUCAGACUAACAGAGAAUGCAGACAAGCACAGCAGAUGCUGUCCGCCAAGAGAACAACGUUCUCCAAUCUGCUAGGGUAAACCCUCCUGGUCACCCAUAGAGUGGAGACCCCCUAGCAACAGCCUCUGCGACAGACCCCAUACUGGGUACCGGAGGUUGUGCGGGGAAGUAUGCAGCAGGAGAUCCAAGUGAUGCUCUGGAUCGGGGUCAUUGAACCGUCCAUGAGCCCUUGGGCCUCCUUCGUAGUCCUGGUCCUGAAGAAAGACGGGACUACCCGGUUCUGUGUGGACUGUGGAAGGCUCAAUGACAAAAGCAUCCCAUGCACUGUAUAGAUGAGCUGCUAGAUAGAAUGGCUCGGGCCGAUACCUCACCACUAUUGAUCUGUGUAAGGUGUACUGGUAGAUUCCCUUAGCGGUGGAUGCUGUCCCCAAAUCCGACUUCGUCACCCCCUUUGGCCUGUACCAGUUUAAGGUAAUGCCAUUCGGUAUGAAGAAUGCUCCGGCCACUUUCCAGAGGAUGGUGGACCAGCUAUUAGAUGGCCUCCAGGAGUAUGUCUGUGCCUAUCUGGACGACAUCGCCAUAUACAGCGAUACUUGGGAGGAACAUCUGGUACAUGUGGGAGCUGUACUGGACAGGAUAAGAGAGGCAGGAUUGACCCUGAAACCCAGUAAGUGCACCCUGGGUAUACAAUACCUGGGACAUUGGGUGGGUUGUGGGACACAGAAGCCCGAGCCAGCCAUGGUUAAAGCAGUAGCUAGCUGGCCCCCAUCCCCUCAUUAAGACCCAGGUGCUGGCUUUCCUAGGUAUGGCCGGUUAUUAUAGGAAAUUUGUUCCCAACUACAGUGCCAUAGCUAUGCCCCUCACUAGACCCCAGCAUGUAAGCAGGCGCCUUGGUAGAUGCCCCUGCCCUGGCAGCUCCUAAUCCCAGAAAAUGUUUUCUCGUCCACACAGAUGCCUCCAUGUUUGGGUUAGGGGCGGUGCUGAUCCAGGUCGGGGACGAUGGUGGAGAACACCCUGUGGCUUACCUCAGCAGGAAGCUGUUGCCCAGGGAGGUAAUCUGUUGAGAAAGAUACCUGGUUGUGGUGUGGGCCCUCAAGAAGCUGCAACCUUACUUGUAUGGACAGCAAUUAACCCUGUUUACGGGUCACAACCCAUUGGGAUGGCUCAACUGGGUCUCUGGGAACAAUGUCAGGCUGCUACGGUGGAGCCUGGCCCUACAACUGUAUGACUUCACUAUUCACUACCGGUAAGCAGAAUGGCAAUGCUGACGGAUUGUCCAGACAGAUGGCCCUAGAUAAGGGAUCUGUGAGUCCUUCCUCGCACAUACCCAAGCCGAUCCGUUGGUGUGAAGGACCUUCCGUCAAUCGAUGCUCCUAGUGCUUACCAAGGACCAUCAGCACCGCACCAGUCACCAUAAGCACUGCAGACCCACGAACUGCCACAGCUUGGUUGGGGUCUCACCGUCUCCUACCCACCCUCGACCUACAACAAGGCUCCAGGCCCCAGUGGGUGAACCUCCCUUCCUUCAGAGAGCGAAGCAGGAACAGCUCUUAGAACAGCUAGUGAUUAGAACCCAGGGGAGUAUACAGAGUAUAGCAAUCCCCAAUGUGAUUAUAGCAGUUCCCUAGAAGACGAGACAAGGCUGCAAGUUGAGGGUAAGAAGGUCUGAAGGUUUAUUGAACAAUUUGAGUUUUUAUACAGUUUUUACAGCAAAGGUGACGCACAGGUGGACCUAGUUGGGCACCGAAUACAAAACAUGAUCACGGAUGUUCGGCACUAUAUGAACAAAAUGGACCAUGUUCGUCAAUAAUACCUCCUGAACCACUAAGACUAGGAAAACAGAUGCACAAACAGUUAAUUUCCUUAUAAACGUUAGUUUGAUACCCUAGAAGG
rnacentral:lncRNA from 1 species